rnacentral:rRNA from 1 species
CACGUAGGGGGCAAGCGUUGUCCGGAUUUAUUGGGCGUAAAGAGCUCGUAGGCGGCUUAGUAAGUCGGGUGUGAAACCUCCAGGCUCAACCUGGAGACGCCACCCGAUACUGCUGUGGCUAGAGUCCGGUAGGGGAGCGUGGAAUUCCUGGUGUAGCGGUGAAAUGCGCAGAUAUCAGGAGGAACACCGGUGGCGAAGGCGGGUCUCUGGGCCGAUACUGACGCUGAGGCACGAAAGCGUGGGGAGCAAACAGG